AAAUUGAAGAGUUUGAUCAUGGCUCAGAUUGAACGCUGGCGGCAGGCCUAACACAUGCAAGUCGAACGGUAACAGGAAGAAGCUUGCUUCUUUGCUGACGAGUGGCGGACGGGUGAGUAAUGUCUGGGGAACUGCCUGAUGGAGGGGGAUAACUACUGGAAACGGUAGCUAAUACCGCAUAACGUCGCAAGACCAAAGAGGGGGACCUUCGGGCCUCUUGCCAUCGGAUGUGCCCAGAUGGGAUUAGCUAGUAGGUGGGGUAACGGCUCACCUAGGCGACGAUCCCUAGCUGGUCUGAGAGGAUGACCAGCCACACUGGAACUGAGACACGGUCCAGACUCCUACGGGAGGCAGCAGUGGGGAAUAUUGCACAAUGGGCGCAAGCCUGAUGCAGCCAUGCCGCGUGUAUGAAGAAGGCCUUCGGGUUGUAAAGUACUUUCAGCGGGGAGGAAGGGAGUAAAGUUAAUACCUUU
rnacentral:rRNA from 1 species